GAGGUAAGAUAGAGGUGUGGGACGUGUGCGGCGCCGGGGAGCGCGUGCAUUCCAUGACGGCCGGCGUCUGCGCUCUGACGGCCAUGCAGGUGGAGGAGGACCGCCUGUACGCGGGCGCGGCGAACGGAGACAUCUCCGUCUGGCAGCUCGGCGACGCCGCCCCGAAGCCGCUCUUCUGCUCGAGACAGCACGGGCGACGGUGGCGCCAUCUCGUGGCAGCGGCGGGUACACUCGCUGGCGGUGCGCGGCGGCGCGGUUUACUACGGAGACGACGGCGAGAACGUGAAGGUCGUCGACUGGAAGAACGGCGCGGUCACGAAAUUGCGGAACCAUCCUUCAGAGGUCGGCGUCACCUACGCCCUGCACGCGAGCGACGCUCUCUUGUUUGCCUCGGGAAUCGACCUUGACAGCGGUCAAGGUUACGUCAACGUGUGGGACCUGGCGGGAGAGCGGGAGCGGUACAGAGCGACGCUGCAGUGCGAGGACGUGGGCCGAGUGACGUGCCUCGCUGCCGUCGUGCGCGCGUCCGGUCGCCUGUGGCUCGCGAGCGGAGGGCAGGACCUGCUGCUGUG